rnacentral:rRNA from 1 species
UACGAAGGGGGCGAGCGUUGUCCGGAUUUACUGGGCGUAAAGAGCGCGCAGGCGGUCGUUCAAGUCGCGUGUGAAAGCCCCCGGCUCAACUGGGGAGGGUCAUUCGAUACUGGUCGACUCGAAGGCAGGAGAGGGAAGCGGAAUUCCCGGUGUAGUGGUGAAAUGCGUAGAUAUCGGGAGGAACACCAGUGGCGAAGGCGGCUUCCUGGCCUGUUCUUGACGCUGAGGCGCGAAAGCUAGGGGAGCAAACGGG